AUUGAACGCUGGCGGCAGGCUUAACACAUGCAAGUCGAGCGGAGAGAGGUAGCUUGCUACUGAUCUUAGCGGCGGACGGGUGAGUAAUGCUUAGGAAUCUGCCUAUUAGUGGGGGGCAACAUUUCGAAAGGAAUGCUAAUACCGCAUACGUCCUACGGGAGAAAGCAGGGGAUCUUCGGACCUUGCGCUAAUAGAUGAGCCUCAGUCGGAUUAGCUAGUUGGUGGGGUAAAGGCCUACCAAGGCGACGAUCUGUAGCGGGUCUGAGAGGAUGAUCCGCCACACUGGGACUGAGACACGGCCCAGACUCCUACGGGAGGAAGCAGUGGGGAAUAUUGGACAAUGGGCGCAAGCCUGAUCCAGCCAUGCCGCGUGUGUGAAGAAAGCCUUAUGGUUGUAAAGCACUUUAAGCGAGGAGGAGGCUACUUUAGUUAAUACCUAGAGAUAGUGGACGUUACUCGCAGAAUAAGCACCGGCUAACUCUGUGCCAGCAGCCGCCGUAAAAC
rnacentral:rRNA from 1 species